CAGCCGCCGCGGUAAUACGUAGGUCCCGAGCGUUGUCCGGAUUUAUUGGGCGUAAAGGGCUCGCAGGCGGUUUCUUAAGUCUGAUGUGAAAGCCCCCGGCUCAACCGUGGAGGGUCAUUGGAAACUGGGAAACUUGAGUGCAGAAGAGGAGAGUGGAAUUCCACGUGUAGCGGUGAAAUGCGUAGAGAUGUGGAGGAACACCAGUGGCGUAGGCGACUCUCUGGUCUGUAACUGACGCUGAGGAGCGAAAGUGUGGGGAGCGAACAGGAUUAGAUACCCCCGUAGUCCCUGUCUCUUAUAC
rnacentral:rRNA from 1 species